GACGAACGCUGGCGGCGUGCUUAACACAUGCAAGUCGAACGGAAAGGCCCUGCUUUUGUGGGGUGCUCGAGUGGCGAACGGGUGAGUAACACGUGAGUAACCUGCCCUUGACUUUGGGAUAACUUCAGGAAACUGGGGCUAAUACCGGAUAGGAGCUCCUGCUGCAUGGUGGGGGUUGGAAAGUUUCGGCGGUUGGGGAUGGACUCGCGGCUUAUCAGCUUGUUGGUGGGGUAGUGGCUUACCAAGGCUUUGACGGGUAGCCGGCCUGAGAGGGUGACCGGCCACAGUGGGACUGAGAUACGGCCCAGACUCCUACGGGUGGCAGCAGUGGGGAAGAUUGCACACUGGGCGGAAGCCUGAUGCAGCAACGCCGCGUGCGGGAUGACGGCCUUCGGGUUGUAAACCGCUUUCGCCUGUGACGAAGCGUGAGUGACGGUAAUGGGUAAAGAAGCACCGGCUAACUACGUG
rnacentral:rRNA from 1 species